GUGUGCACAUGCAGUCAUAUUGUGGUGUUUGUCUUUUAAAUGCUGGUGAGACAGAGACUGUGGAGGACUCUCCUCCUCCUGAGAGUUUCAGGCUGGACCACACACCAGUGUAAGCAUACCCACUGUUUCCUUUCACAACUGCAUAUCUGAGCGUGUCUUUAACACUGAUCUGUGAUGUGUUUUGAUAGCACCCCUUAUUCAAGCUCCAUAAUGGAGAUGCUGAUGACAUUUGGGACCGCAACUUAUAAAGUUGGCCUUAAGGUGCACCCUAAUGAGCAGGACCCCCGUGUGCCUAUCAUGUGCUGGGGCAGCUGUUCUUGCACCAUCCAGUCUAUAGAGAGAUUAUUGGUAGAUGAGGAGAAGCCUUGUUUGGAAGUUUACCCUGUAGACAGGUAUGACAACCCAACUUAUUGUCAUAUCUCAGCCCAGCCAGGACUCGGUUUCCUGAGAAGCAACACCCACUUCUAACAUGGCCGCUGAGGACUACACUUCCCACACACGCAUGCACUCACCUCCCCGGAGUUCUGAUCUCACACACCUGCAGCCAAUCAGCUUGUCCACUCACCACGGCUUAUUAAGAGACUUUGGUUCAGAGACACUUUGUGAAGUAAAUGUUCAGCAGACUAGUUUCUCUGUCGUUCUCCAAGCAUUACCUACUGUGUUUAUUCGAUAAGUGACUUUGGCCUCUGUCUUGCCCCGUUUGUUUUGUUUGCAUGAUCGCCUGACCCUCGCUUGCUUCUUGACUACGGACUGUGUUCACCCCUCUGGAUUAUUCUGCCUGAACCUGCCGCCCGCUUCUUCUUCUGUAUUCCCCACAGUACGUGACACUUAUCAUGCCAGAAUGAAUUCUUCUUUCGAGGGAUGUGUGAUGAUGUAAUAAAUUCUGUAUCAGUGGUAUUGUUAGUACUGUUAAAAUACUCCACUAAGCACUGUUUGCUUGCAGGAUGUAGUAGUUAAUUGUACACUGGAAUAAAUUCUUCCGAUGAUUUGAUUUGCUUUUCACUUGUAAUUCUAAAUAUAAAAGCAUAUAUAACUGUGUAUAUAUAAAUGAAAAUAGACUGCAUCUGUCAAAUCAUUACUCAAGCUUCUGAGCAUCAUUCGCACUCUAAAGAUAUCUAGAAGAUUGCUCAAUUAUGUUCGGGGUUCAUUUUGGUAGCAUUACUAAAUAUUCUGAAUCACAAAUAUCUGCAGGUAUUAUGCUCUCCUUCCUCAGUUCUAAUUUCUUCUAUAUCCUGUGAUAUUUAUAUAUAUUUUGUAUCCUGAAUAAUAAAAAAUAGAAGUGUCAUAAAACGUGCCCUUGUUUAGGAGACUAUUUGAGUUCCCUGGCUCGGUUUGGCUCUGCAUGCUGGACUGUCUCCUCUCACUCCUCUGUGCAAAAUCACUUCAUGUGACUGUUGGCAGAUAUAUUUAUUUCAUUAUUUAUUUUUCUCUCACUUGUAGUUUUUUAGUUCUUUAACUGUGCUCUGUGCAGCACUUGUUCUUGAUCCCCAGGUGGAAAGUUCCCCCUGCAUUCUGGAUGUGGACAUGUUCCACUUAGUGGGGAGUCUGGUGCUGUCCUAUUCAGCAUUGCACUGCUUAGACUCCUCAGGGCUUAGUGCGGAUACUGCACACCUGCAUCUCUUCCACUUGGUCAUUGUUGCUCACCUGGUCCAGAUCCUCCUCACCUCUGUGCCAGGUGCUGGGGAAUGGGAAGUGCUGUGUGCAUAUGUGUCUGCCUCCUAACCUGCUCCAGCUCUAUUAUAAUCACCAGGAGCUUCUGGAUCCCCUGCUUCAGGGGUGGUGCUCACAUCCAGGCAUGCAACAAUGUCUCCAGUCACCUGAAACCCUUAAGUUUUCCUUGGGAAUCCAAUAAGCUAAUUGAUGUGCCAGAGGAUUACUGUGCACUGAUCAACUAGGCUUUCAGCUUCACGUGAGUCUGUCCUAAGUCAGAUGGAGUUAAGUCUUGAGCUCAAACUCUGUGCUUGGUGUGUGGCACGAUGCUGUCUUCUCAGAGCAGCUGCUGCCAGACUGAGCUGGAGGGUGAGGACGUUGAAGCGUGUACUGCACACACCUUUGUUUGCUGAGCUGGUGUUAGCAUCUUCCUCAGGGUGAGGGAGAAUCAGGUUCUUUUCCUGUACCUCGAUGACUAUGGAGAACUGUCCAAGGGCUCAGAUGGAGGAAUGCGCUACAGAAAGAUUCAGAAGCUCUGGCGCCAGCACAGCAUCACCGAGGAGAUGGGUCAUGCACAGGAAGCUAAUCAGACUCUGGAGGACAUUGACUGGGAGAUCCUGGAUUUUCUUGGCUAAUGCCAAAUCUAAACUAACCAGGGAUCUGCACAUUUACCUAGAAAUGCCUACAGCCAAAAUCCCCAGUACUGACUGAACACAUCAAAUGCUGAGUUUACUUUUACAGUCUUGAAUUAACACCUCUGCUAACUGCGUCAUCACCUACAGUGCUGAACUGACAGUUUACUUAACAGCCAUAAUGCUCACUGUUUACAAUACGAAUUAAAGAUUAUAUAAACCCUGGAAUUGUGAAUUAAGCACACCUUUGGUUAAAAGAUGGGGGAAAAAAGAAUUGAUUUAUCACUCAUUGGUUUUGUAAAUAAGGCUUGGUGAAAAUUAGGGUUAAGCUUUGUUUGUGUCACAGGCUAUAUACCCUUCCUCUAAUUUGUUUUCAAUGGAUGUGUACUGUUUUACAAUCUAAGGGUUUUGUUUGCAUCUAUAAUGAUUACAUGGAUAAGACAUGUUUACCGUUUGCCACUUUCCAUUUUUUCUCUCUCCUUUUUGGAUAUACCAGUUAAAUAUGUCACGGUUUAGUCAACUGUAACUCUUUUGUUCCUGGUUGUUUGGAAUCAGUUAAUAAACUGUGUUUUUAA